rnacentral:lncRNA from 10 species
CCGCCAGGUUGUCCCAGGGCACGCAACACAGUCUGAUAAAUGAUCAGUCAAAUGCACAGAUGUACGUUCCACCUUCCCUGCCCCCAGAGAAGGAAUUUAAACUCAGAUAGAAUAUAGUUAACUUAGUGCACUUUCCUUGAAACGUUUGACAAAUACAGUUGAUUCUUAUUCUCAGUUUAUAGAUGGGAAACAGCUUGGAGAGUUUUCUGUGGUUUAACUGAAUUCUCUUAAUACUAAUAGCCCCCUGGCCAUCCAAUCAACACGUAUUUGCAAGCUGUCAUGAUGCAAAAUCGCUCCUUCUGUUUCAAUGCCCUCUUGUGCUCUUUUUUUUUCCUGCUCCAUCAAUUCAACGGCCGCCUGUGGAACAUCAGCAAAGCUCACUGCUGCAGGUUGCAGGACCCGGCAGACAGCAGUUGCUCAAUAAACAUUUUUCAGUGAGUGAGAGAGGAGACAGUCCUCAUUCUUGAGACCAGUGAAGAGAAGACAAAGGAGCAAACCAUGGCAAGAUCCAUGGGAGGCGCUGUGGUGGGGAACAGCAGCAGGCUCAAAGGAGAGACAAGACAGGUCGCCCAGAGGAGGUGACAGAAGCUGGGCGUUGAAGGUGCUACAGGAGUUUGCCCAGAGGGCAAGAGGAGAAGGACGUUCGGCAAGAGGGGAAGGACAUUCAGCAAGAGGAAAGCACCUCUCAGUGCCCGAGAAACCCCAGCAAGUUCCUCCAAGGAAAGGCGGUUGUUUCCAGCCUGUGAUUCUGCACCGAGGCCACCAGCACCUCCCGAGGGGCCAGCACAUGAACGGCCACUGUCAUGAAGCUGGAGCUGACGAGGGGCACAUCCAGUAACAGCAAAAGAGAAAAUAGGAUGCCUUGUCUUUCUAAAGGACACCUCCCAUCCCCACAGGCCUCAGACUGCUGUCUUCACUGGCUCCUGCUGCCCAGGAAAACCCCUUGCAUGCCAGAGGCUUGGGGGCAUAUCACCUCAGAGAGAAAGAGAAACUCCUACGGGGUUUGAAUCGAUCAUCAAGAAGCUAUUUUAGUUUCAUCUACUAUGAAAGCCUGUGGGGUCUCACCCCUUCUGGAUUGCUGAGGAAGGUUGUUCUGAACACGCCGGGGAGUGAGAGAGAGUGAAUAGGCAGGAGAACGUCAGGAUCUCCAGACUUUUAGACAAGGAGGCCCUGGGGCACAAAAAAUAGUCCGAAUGCAUAAGACCUAGUAUUUGCUAGCACAACAGGGUGACUCCCCUCAAAAAUGAUUGAAUCGUACAUUUAAAAAUCGCUAAAGAGUAUAACUGGAUUGUUUGCAACACAAAUGAUAAAUGCUUGAGGGGAUGGAUACUCCAUUUACUCUGCUGUGAUUAUCAUGCACUGCACGCCUGUAUCAAAAUAUCUCAUAAAACCCAUAAAUAUAUCCACCUACUAUGUACUCACAAAAAUUAAAAAUAAAAAAUUAUAUUAAAAAAAGAAGAAAAGGAGGCUCUGACCAGCUGUCUAUCGCCUCUCAGGAAAUCCAGACAACACUUCAAGAAGAAGAAGCUGUAAAGACAAUUUUUAAGAGAAAAUCCUUUUCCAUAGAGUAUUCACAAACUAGGUUUCCACAGCUAGUUUCAUGGCAGUACCAGAUGCCUUUUCAUACAAAUGCUUCAGCCAGCAAAACCUUGCGUAAGAGAAGGGGCAGGAGGCCUUUGAAGUUGGUUGUGUUUUUUUGGGUGGCUUGGAUUUUUCUGGGUGACUGAUUUUCGCAUAUCCAUCUUCUGGUUCUAACUUGGCCUCUACCAAGCCAGUGAUUUAGGCUCUACCUUGUUGCUCAUUAACUAGGAGGAAUGCCUACGGGGCUUAGGUGCUUUCAAGAAAGUUGCCAUUGUAACAAACUGAUUGAUGGUCCUGCUUUUACAGCUCCAACUUGGUUCCAUUUGCCCAAAGAAAUAGAGGUCGCUCUUAUGUACAAUGCACUGAUUAAUCAUGGAUCCCAAGUGAGAGACAAAAGAAUGGGACACCCAGCCACCAAGAGGGUUUCUUCUUUCCCUCCCAGCUCUGGAGCAAAGUCCUAGAUAAAACAUGGAUGCAAUUCCACGUGGGAGCAUCGCUAAAGGAUUUUAGAGAGAAGCCACGGGCGAUAAUAUAGAAAUCCACACUCUAAAGCAAUCGACUGAUACAACUGACAGCCCAGCAGAGAGCUUCGAUUCCUGGGCUCCAGGAGUCAUCAGAACUGCGCUGACGUCCUGGCUGCCACAGCCCAGCUGGGGGACCCAGGCACUAUUCACAAUAUCAAAGAUUUGGAGCCAACCCAAAUGCCCAUCAGUGAUAGACUGGAUAAAGAAAAUGUGGCAUAUAUACACCAUGGAAUACUAUGCAGCCAUAAAAAAGGAUGAGUUCACGCCCUUUGCAGUGACAUGGAUGAAGCUGGAAACCAUCAUUCUCAGCAAACUAACACAGGAACAGAAAACCAAACACCACACGUUCUCACUCAUAAAUGAGAGUUGAACAAUGAGAACACAUGGACACAGGGAGGAGAACAUCACACACCAGGGCCUGUCGGUGGGUGGAAGGCUAGGGGAGGGAUAGCAUUAGCAGAAAUACCUAAUGUAGAUGACGGGUUGAUGGGUGCAGCAAACCACCAUGGCACAUGUAUACCUAUGUAACAAAGCUGCACAUUCUGCAUAUAUAUCCCAGAACUUAAAGUAUAAUAAUAAAAAAAGAAUACCUUUCCAAUCCU